AUCAAAGGUAUGAUUAGAACCCAGGUUCCUGGAUUUGGAAUCAGGAAGACAGGGAUUCAAAUCCCACAUCUUACAAUUAUUGCACCAUGGUGGAAGGCCCUUGCCCAGCUUAAGGUCUACAAGAUGUUCAGCAGUAUUCUUACCAUGGAGAUGAAAGGAAUGCUCUUCUAUGCCCUGUUGUAUGGAUGUGUGAUUUCAUCAGCAUAGAGAAUCUCCUCUACUGAUGUUGAUUCCAACUCAACUAUGAUUCAGCAACUGUGACUUGAAGGAGUUUUGGAAAUCCCAUCUGAAUCCAAACUGUCAGAAUUGGUGAGACUACUCCUUGAGGGAAGGGACGAUCUUUGUUUUUGUAUUUACGUCACCAUCCCUCAGCACAGUACCUUGAUACAUUGUGAACACUUUAUAAAU